UACAGAGGGUGCGAGCGUUGUCCGGAAUCACUGGGCGUAAAGGGCGCGUAGGUGGCGGCCCAAGUCCGUGGUGAAAGCUCGAUGCUUAACAUCGAGUCGGCCACGGAGACUGGGUGGCUCGAGCACUGUAGGGGCAGAUGGAAUUCCGGGUGUAGCGGUGGAAUGCGUAGAGAUCCGGAAGAACACCGGUGGCGAAGGCGGUCUGCUGGGCAGUUGCUGACACUGAGGCGCGACAGCGUGGGGAGCAAACGGG
rnacentral:rRNA from 1 species